rnacentral:rRNA from 1 species
GACGUAGGGCGCGAGCGUUGUCCGGAUUUAUUGGGCGUAAAGCGCUCGCAGGCGGCUCGAUGCGUCGUGCGUGAAACACCCCGGCUCAACUGGGGAGGGUCGUGCGAUACGGUCGGGCUGGAGGCCAGUAGGGGGAUGCGGAAUUCCGGGUGUAGUGGUGGAAUGCGUAGAGAUCCGGAGGAACACCAGCGGCGAAGGCGGCAUCCUGGACUGGUCCUGACGCUCAGGAGCGAAAGCGUGGGGAGCGAUCCGG